rnacentral:rRNA from 1 species
UACAGAGGCCUCGAGCGUUAGGCGGAAUCACUGGGCUUAAAGCGUGUGUAGGCGGACUUCUAAGUACCUUGUGAAAUCCCACGGCUCACCCGUGGAACUGCUUGGUAUACUGGUUGUCUUCGAGCCUUCUAGGGGCGAGUGGAACAAAUGGUGGAGCGGUGAAAUGCGUAGAUAUCAUUUGGAACGCCAAUGGUGAAAACAACUCGCUGGGGAAGUGCUGACGCUGAGACACGAAAGCCAGGGGAGCGAACGGG